rnacentral:rRNA from 1 species
AGCGAACGCUGGCGGCAGGCCUAACACAUGCAAGUCGAACGAACUCUUCGGAGUUAGUGGCGGACGGGUGAGUAACGCGUGGGAACGUGCCCUUUGGUACGGAAUAACUCAGGGAAACUUGAGCUAAUACCGUAUGUGCCCUUCGGGGGAAAGAUUUAUCGCCAUUGGAGCGGCCCGCGUCUGAUUAGCUAGUUGGUGAGGUAAAGGCUCACCAAGGCUACGAUCAGUAGCUGGUCUGAGAGGAUGAUCAGCCACAUUGGGACUGAGACACGGCCCAAACUCCUACGGGAGGCAGCAGUGGGGAAUCUUGCGCAAUGGGCGAAAGCCUGACGCAGCCAUGCCGCGUGAAUGAUGAAGGUCUUAGGAUUGUAAAAUUCUUUCACCGGGGACGAUAAUGACGGUACCCGGAGAAGAAGCCCCGGCUAACUUCGUG